ACUACAUAUCUUCAGGUAAAUGAG
rnacentral:siRNA from 1 species